AUGCGCGCGCCUUUUCCUGCGCGUACGUGUCCCGCGCUCGAGGUUCCGCGGGCGGCAAUGGGGGAGGGGGGAUGGUCUGCUGGCCUGGCCUGGCCUGGCGCUCUUGUUGCUGCCGCUGUUCCUCUUACGAAGGUUACAAGGAAAGGAGGGAGGGAGAGGGAGAGGGGGAGACGGGGCGGUUUGACUCGUGGGGGGAGAAGAGUUGGCGGUCGUGGCGGGCGCGUUGAGCCCAGCCGGCGGGCGCGACCAAUGGGGAGGCUGAACUGGUCAAGCCAAGAAGAUGGUUCUAAUUUUUCCUCCUUGGUGUCUCUUUUCUAA
rnacentral:rRNA from 1 species